rnacentral:rRNA from 1 species
AGUGUUAUCCGGAAUCACUGGGCGUAAAGCGUCUGUAGGUUGUUUAAUAAGUCAACUGUUAAAUCUUGAAGCUCAACUUCAAAGCUGCAGUCGAAACUGUUAGACUAGAGUAUAGUAGAGGUAAAGGGAAUUUCCAGUGGAGCGGUGAAAUGCGUAGAUAUUGGAAAGAACACCAAUGGCGAAGGCACUUUACUGGGCUAUUACUGACACUCAGAGACGAAAGCUAGGGUAGCAAAUGGGAUUAGAUACCCCAGUAGUCCUAGCUGUAAACAAUGGAUACUAGGUGUUGAACAGAACGACUGUGCAGUACUAAAGCUAACGCGUUAAGUAUCCCGCCUGGAAAGUAUGCUCGCAAGGGUGAAAUUCAAAGGAAUUGACGGGGGCCCGCACAAGCGGUGGAGCAUGUGGUUUAAUUCGAUGCAACGCGAAGAACCUUACCAGGGUUUGACAUGAUAUGAAUUUUUUUGAAAAAAGAAAGUGCCUUUUGGAACAUAUACACAGGUGGUGCAUGGCUGUCGUCAGCUCGUGUCGUGAGAUGUUGGGUUAAGUCCCGCAACGAGCGCAACCCUUGUUUUUAGUUGCCUUAUGGAAAUCUAAAAAAACUGCCGGUUAUAAACC